ensembl:snoRNA small nucleolar RNA SNORD50
UAUUAAGGAUGACACUAUUCCGAACAUGAAUCUUGAAAGAUUGAAGACACGGAUCUGAUUUCUGAAAU